rnacentral:rRNA from 1 species
AUUACUUUUGAUAUAGAGAUCAUUGAAACUCACUAUAGUCCCAUAGGUAUGAGACUGAUUUGAGCGAGAGUAGUACUAGGAUGGGUGACCUCCUGGGAAGUCCUCGUGAAAGGGUUU